CAGAGGGAUAGCCCAGAGAAAUUUGGAUUAAUACCUCAUAGCAUAAUCAAGCCGCAUGGUUUGAUUAUUAAAGUCACAACGGUGAAAGAUGAGCAUGCGUCCCAUUAGCUAGUUGGUAAGGUAACGGCUUACCAAGGCGACGAUGGGUAGGGGUCCUGAGAGGGAGAUCCCCCACACUGGUACUGAGACACGGACCAGACUCCUACGGGAGGCAGCAGUGAGGAAUAUUGGUCAAUGGACGCAAGUCUGAACCAGCCAUGCCGCGUGCAGGAUGACGGUCCUAUGGAUUGUAAACUGCUUUUGCACAGGAAGAAACACUCCGACGUGUCGGAGCUUGACGGUACUGUGAGAAUAAGGAUCGGCUAACUCCGUGCCAGCAGCCGCGGUAAUACGGAGGAUCCAAGCGUUAUCCGGAAUCAUUGGGUUUAAAGGGUCCGUAGGCGGUCUUGUAAGUCAGUGGUGAAAGCCCAUCGCUCAACGGUGGAACGGCCAUUGAUACUGCAGGACUUGAAUUAUUGGGAAGUAACUAGAAUAUGUAGUGUAGCGGUGAAAUGCUUAGAGAUUACAUGGAAUACCAAUUGCGAAGGCAGGUUACUACCAAUUUAUUGACGCUGAUGGACGAAAGCGUGGGUAGCGAACAGGAUUAGAUACCCUGGUAGUCCACGCCGUAAACGAUGGAUACUAGCUGUUGGGAGCAAUCUCAGUGGCUAAGCGAAAGUGAUAAGUAUCCCACCUGGGGAGUACGAACGC
rnacentral:rRNA from 1 species